rnacentral:rRNA from 1 species
AGACCUCAGUCAGGCAGGGGGCUACCCGCUGAGUUUAA